UACGUAGGGGCAAGCGUUGUCCGGAAUCAUUGGGCGUAAGCGCGCGUAGGCGGCCCGGUAAGUCCGCUGUGAAAGUCCAGGGCUCAACCCUGGAAAGCCGGUGGAUACUGCCGGGCUAGAGUCCGGAAGAGGCGAGUGGAAUUCCUGGUGUAGCGGUGGAAUGCGCAGAUAUCAGGAGGAACACCAAUAGCGAAGGCAGCUCGCUGGGACGGUACUGACGCUGAGACGCGAAGCGUGGGAGCAAACAGG
rnacentral:rRNA from 1 species